rnacentral:rRNA from 1 species
ACUCCUACGGGAGGCAGCAGUGGGGAAUAUUGCACAAUGGGCGCAAGCCUGAUGCAGCCAUGCCGCGUGUAUGAAGAAGGCCUUCGGGUUGUAAAGUACUUUCAGCAGUGAGGAAGGUGGAUAUGUUAAUAGCAUAUUCAUUUGUACGUUAGCUGCAGAAGAAGCACCGGCUAACUCCGUGCCAGCAGCCGCGGUAAUACGGAGGGUGCGAGCGUUAAUCGGAAUUACUGGGCGUAAAGCGCAUGCAGGUGGUUUGUUAAGUCAGAUGUGAAAGCCCGGGGCUCAACCUCGGAAUUGCAUUUGAAACUGGCAAACUAGAGUACUGUAGAGGGGGGUUAGAAUUUCAGGUGUAGCGGUGAAAUGCGUAGAGAUCUGAAGGAAUACCGGUGGCGAAGGCGGCCCCCUGGACAGAUACUGACACUCAGAUGCGAAAGCGUGGGGAGCAAACAGGAUUAGAUACCCGUGAUAGGCUCU